rnacentral:rRNA from 1 species
AACGAACGCUGGCGGCAUGCCUAACACAUGCAAGUCGAACGAGACCUUCGGGUCUAGUGGCGCACGGGUGCGUAACGCGUGGGAACCUGCCCUUAGGUUCGGAAUAACUCCCCGAAAGGGGUGCUAAUACCGGAUAAUGUCUUCGGACCAAAGAUUUAUCGCCUUUGGAUGGGCCCGCGUUGGAUUAGCUAGUUGGUAGGGUAAAAGCCUACCAAGGUGACGAUCCAUAGCUGGUCUGAGAGGAUGAUCAGCCACACUGGGACUGAGACACGGCCCAGACUCCUACGGGAGGCAGCAGUGGGGAAUAUUGGACAAUGGGCGAAAGCCUGAUCCAGCAAUGCCGCGUGAGUGAUGAAGGCCUUAGGGUUGUAAAGCUCUUUUACCCGGGAUGAUAAUGACAGUACCGGGAGAGUAAGCUCCGGCUAACUCCGUG